rnacentral:lncRNA from 1 species
CUUACCACCUCGUAGACUAGUCCAGUAGUGGGUGAGUAGAGUAUGUACUUUGGUGGGCACCAGACAUCCAAUAAGAAAAAGUAGCUCCGCCAAUUGUGCACGCAAGCUGCUCAGAGCACAACUCUAACUAUUGAAGGGAGGUGAUCAACUCAAUUGAAAGAGAGGGAUACUCACCUCUUUUCCAAGAAAACUAUGGGAGUCCACGCAAACGCUUUGUUCAUGCAAAUCUUCUUUUACCAAAUUUUAUCUGUUUUUUCAAGUUUGUAGAUUGUGAUAAUAUAACGUAGGUUAGUGUUUUCAACCACUUAUCAUUUUAAUUAAGAACAAAAAGAGUUUGGUAUCUAACAACCCUAGUAACAUGGAAUUACACGAAAACCUUAUGAACUACACAAUCUUAUUGAACCAUAGAAAAGGAUAUUUUAGAUUAAAAGGUAGAAGAAGGGGUGUUUUUG